rnacentral:rRNA from 1 species
UACGGAGGGUGCUAGCGUUGCUCGGAAUCACUGGGCGUAAAGCGCGUGUAGGCGGUUUCGUGUGUCUGACGUGAAAGCCCCGGGCUCAACCCGGGAAGUGCGUUGGAAACUGCGGAACUAGAGUCCCGGAGAGGGAGGUGGAAUUCCAGGUGUAGCGGUGAAAUGCGUAGAUAUCUGGAAGAACACCGGUGGCGAAGGCGGCCUCCUGGGCGGUGACUGACGCUGAGACGCGAAAGCGUGGGGAGCAAACAGG